rnacentral:rRNA from 1 species
CACGUAGGGCGCAAGCGUUGUCCGGAAUUAUUGGGCGUAAAGAGCUCGUAGGCGGUCUGUUGCGUCCGCUGUGAAAACCCGGGGCUUAACCCUGGGCUGGCAGUGGAUACGGACAGACUAGAGGUAGGUAGGGGAGAAUGGAAUUCCCGGUGUAGCGGUGAAAUGCGCAGAUAUCGGGAAGAACACCCGUGGCGAAGGCGGUUCUCUGGGACGGUACUGACGCUGAGACGCGAAAGCGUGGGGAGCGAACAGG